GUCCACGCCCUAAACGAUGCGAACUGGACGUUGGGAGCAAUUAGGCUCUCAGUGUCGAAGCUAACGCGUUAAGUUCGCCGCCUGGGAGUACGGUCGCAAGACUGAAACUCAAAGGAAUUGACGGGGCCCGCACAAGCGGUGGAGUAUGUGGUUUAAUUCGAUGCAACGCGCAGAACCUUACCUGGCCUUGACAUCCACGGAAUCCUUGAGAGAUCAGGGAGUGCCUUCGGGAACCGUGAGACAGGUGCUGCAUGGCUGUCGU
rnacentral:rRNA from 1 species